rnacentral:rRNA from 1 species
ACUCCUACGGGAGGCAGCAGUGGGGAAUAUUGGACACUGGGCGCAAGCCUGAUCCAGCCAUGCCGCGUGAGUGAUGAAGGCCCUAGGGUUGUAAAGCUCUUUCACCGGUGAAGAUAAUGACGGUAACCGGAGAAGAAGCCCCGGCUAACUUCGUGCCAGCAGCCGCGGUAAUACGAAGGGGGCUAGCGUUGUUCGGAUUUACUGGGCGUAAAGCGCACGUAGGCGGACUAUUAAGUCAGGGGUGAAAUCCCGGGGCUCAACCCCGGAACUGCCUUUGAUACUGGUAGUCUUGAGUUCGAGAGAGGUGAGUGGAAUUCCGAGUGUAGAGGUGAAAUUCGUAGAUAUUCGGAGGAACACCAGUGGCGAAGGCGGCUCACUGGCUCGAUACUGACGCUGAGGUGCGAAAGCGUGGGGAGCAAACAGGAUUAGAUACCCGAGUAGUCCCA